rnacentral:rRNA from 1 species
GACGAACGCUGGCGGCGUGCCUAAUACAUGCAAGUCGAACGAACCGCGACUAGGUGCUUGCACUUGGUCAAGGUGAGUGGCGAACGGGUGAGUAACACGUGGGUAACCUACCUCAUAGUGGGGGAUAACAGUCGGAAACGACUGCUAAUACCGCAUAGGACAUAGGAUCACAUGAUCCAGUGAGGAAAGGUGGCGCAAGCUAUCGCUAAGAGAUGGACCCGCGGUGCAUUAGCUAGUUGGUAGGGUAAAGGCCUACCAAGGCGAUGAUGCAUAGCCGACCUGAGAGGGUGAUCGGCCACAUUGGGACUGAGACACGGCCCCAACUCCUACGGGAGGCAGCAGUAGGGAAUCUUACGCAAUGGACGCAAGUCUGACGGAGCAACGCCGCGUGAGUGAAGAAGGUCUUCGGAUCGUAAAGCUCUGUUGUUAGAGAAGAACAGCGCAUAGAGUAACUGUUAUGCGUGUGACGGUAUCUAACCAGAAAGCCACGGCUAACUACGUG